UACGGAGGGUGCAAGCGUUAUCCGGAUUCACUGGGUUUAAAGGGUGCGUAGGUGGGCAGGCAAGUCAGUGGUGAAAUCUCUGGGCUCAACUCAGAAACUGCCAUUGAUACUAUUUGUCUUGAAUACCGUGGAGGUCAGCGGAAUAUGUCAUGUAGCGGUGAAAUGCUUAGAUAUGACAUAGAACACCAAUUGCGAAGGCAGCUGGCUACACGAAUAUUGACACUGAUGCACGAAAGCGUGGGGAUCAAACAGG
rnacentral:rRNA from 1 species